UUCUCUUCAUAUGGCCGGCCAAAGCAAGAACAAAGGAAGAAAAGGAAGAACAAAACCCUAGGUGAAAAAAUUCAAGGGAAAAGUGUGAAAAUUCAAGGAAACAAGUGAAAAAAAGGUAAGAUUUUUCAAUUAAGCUUGUGAUCUAUCUUUCUUAAGCAUUUUUUUCUUAUUUUUCAUGGUUGAAUCACAAGAUAUCAUGAAGGAUUGUGUGCUGAUCAAACCCUAGGAGAGAGAAUUUGAUGAUGAUUUAGAUAGAUUUUUAAGAUAUAUGGAUGUUUUUAGUUGUUUAUGGUGUUAAGUGUAAGAAUUAAGCUUGAAAUUCACAUAUUCCUCAUGAGUUCUCAUUGGCCGAAUUCUCCAUGUAGAAUAUUAAUGAUGAUUUUGAUUUUAUUUCAAGUGAUUUGGUUAGGAAUUAGUGAUUUAUGGUGUGAGAAUUAAGCUUGAAAAAUUAUAAUGUUGAUGCACCCACCAUGGCCGAAUUUUCCAAGUGAAAAUGUGAGGAUGAUUUUGCCAUAUUUCAAGUUAUUUAAUUUGUGUUUGAUGAUUUAGAGUAUUGGGAGAAAAAUGGAAUUAUUUGGAGUUAAACUGGACAUAUUGGCCAAUUAAUCGAGUGAUAGAUCGAUAGGCCAAUACCGUUUUAUUUAGGUACACAAUUGAAUUUGUGUAGAACACCAUGUUUGGAUGAUAAUCUGAACAAUUUACAUCCCAUUUCAUGCAUUAGUAUAGAGCCUAAAUUGGUUUUAUAACAAUUUGGCACAAAUGUAGUAAAUGGCUUAUUGUGCAUUAUGUUUAGGUGGUGAGCAUUCUGGCAAAAGUAAAGAGAUAGUACUCGAGGAUCAAGAAUAUCAGUAAUUGGAAUUCGACUCUCGAAAUAGUGAGUAACCUUACUAUCGUCUUAAUUAUCUAAAGUGGUUUUUAUCCGAUUUUGUGAUUUUAUGGAAAAUGAGUUUAAAUGGUAAAUCUUUAUGUUUUAUAAACAAAAUGUGUUUAAAUGAAAUGAUUUUAUAAAAUUGUCUUGAAAUUGAAAAAUGGUUUUGAAAAUGGAGUAAUUGGAGACUAAUUGUUGUGUUAUAAAUCGUGGUUUGAAUUGAAUGGCUUAUGAUAAUAUUUGCAUGAAUGGCUGAAUUGGUAUUUGUGUUGAAAAUGUAUGAAUUAUUAAUUUGCCUUGAGAGGCUAUAAAAUAAAAUAAUUACCAUGUCAUGUUAUCGCAAAUUUUAUUGUAUUGUGGGUUAUAAAUUGGUCGCUGCAGUGGACGGGUUUCGUGGACCAGCCUAUUAGAGGGGCACGGUAACCCUAUUAUAUUCAUACCUCAGUAUGAGAGGCGCUGUUGGAUAACUCCUGAGGUUAACACUUUAGAGUUCACUUCACGCUAAACCACCACAUGAGGGUGAACUCAGCCAACGCCAAGGAACGGCUAUACUUUCAAAAUAAAAAUAUGAUUUAUGCGUACAUAACUUUUUAAUAGCCUUGGCGGUCUCGGUUGGGAUAGCCCUCGGCCAAGGUAUCCCUGAUAACUGAGUAUGAGAAUGAUUUUGGCACGAGCUAAAGUUUUAAGAAAUUCAUAAGCCAUGUUGAUUACUCGAUUUAUAUGAAUUGAUUUUAUUUGGUUGAAAUGAGUUGAAAGGUGAUGAAUUAUAGUAUGUUAAACUAUUUUAUCUGUCUCCAUUUACUCAGCUUUAGAUAUUUUAGAUGGUAUUUGUUUACUCACUGGGAUUAUAUAAUCUCACCACCCUCCUUUCCACCCCUUUCAAGCUUAGGAUAGUCGGUAGAUAGCUCAUUUCGUUGAAGGCUACAGUUGGACUUACAUCAUCAAAAACUGUAAGUUUACCUCUUUUGAUACUUUUGGUCGUUCGUGGGCCUACAUGUCACUGUAAAUUAAAUCUUAUGCUUUGGUUAUCUGUAUUACAGUAUGUAUUAAUUUAUUUAGUUUUUAUGCUACAAAAAAUUAUUUACCGGUAACUCUAUAAAUAUUAUUUUAUAAGAAAAUAGAAUAUUUUAUUAAAUAUUUUUAUUAUAUUCAAGUAGGUAUAGUUUCACUUUAAAUAAAUGUUUUAGAUAACUAAACUUAUUUUUUAUUAUGAAAUAUGUGUUUUCCACUCGCAUACUACAUUUUUAGCUAGUUUCGAGAUUUUUGAAGAAAAAUGACCAAAAUGCCCCUGUGAGAAAAAAAUUAUUAUUCUAUUGUUUUGAUUUGGAAAUAGUUUAUAAUCUCUCAACACAUGAUACUUAACAAACUGUUGCUCAUAGGGGAGGUGCGAAAACUGAUAUUAAAGCCUUGAAAGGUUCCAAUUGGCAUUUCGAGUAAUGAAUGUCUAUCGGGACGUCGCAGCGGUUGUCACGGGCUCGAGGGGAGUACCGGGUCGUGACACAAAUUAUGGGCUUGGUUAUGUUUCCAACUAAAUGCUUUUAGUAUAUAACUAAGUCCAUAUUACCAUCUUGUCUAGAUGUGAUUUGUUUUCCUAUAUUCAUUAUGUAUCUCAUAGUAUAAAACUCCUUUUAAACUAAAAUACAUAAUGCAUGCAUGGCAUUCCUUAAGAGAUGUUGGCACCUUAAUUCUAGAUAACAUGUUUUCAAGCAUACAAAUAAUAUCUAAUAUCAUUCAUAUAAAUACAUAUAAAUAUUUAUAUAUAUAAUAAGCCACAUUAAUGUCCAUCCUAGAAAAAAUAAAAUAAAAUUACAACUUGUAAUUCUCUUCAAUCUUGCUUGCUUCCACUGCUUGUUAGGAUCACAUCCAUUUGACACUCUUUUGAAUUUUAUGACUUUUUAAAAAUCCUCAAUUUUAAUUUUAAUUUUAACCCAAUUUGAGAAAAUAAUUUUAUUUUGUCCAAUUAAUUAAUCUCACUAAUUAAUACCAAAAUAAAAAAUAUUUUUUUUAAUCCAAGGCUAAAAUUAAUUUUCCAAAAAUAAAAAUAAUUUUACAAAAAUUUUUAAGAAUAUAUAAAUAUAUAUUUUAAAUAAUUUUAUUAAAAAAAUUAGAAGAGGGCCCUAUCCUAAUGGGUUGUUGCCCAAGAGCCCAAUAGUGGGCUGUUGCCUUGUGGCAGCAGCACAACAACAUGUGCUGUUGUCCGGCAGUAGCACACUGCUACUAUCCUGUCCAGCAGCACACUACUGCUGUGUGUUGUCCAACAGCACACAGCAAUGUACUGUGUGCUGUCAAAUGGCACACAACAGGGCUAGGCAGCACACAGCAUUUGUGUGCUGUCGAACGGCAAACAGCAGGGGUUGUGUGCUACCCGAAGCACACCUCACCCCUAUUUUCCCUUUUUCAUUUUUUUUAAUAAAAAAAUAAAAAAAUAUAUAUUUAUAAUAACAAAAUUUUAAUAUAAGAAAAACUCUUUUCUUUUUUAAAAAAUAAAUACAAGAAAAACUCCUUUUUCCAAAAAAAUAGUCAUAAAAAAAAAUUAAAGAGACCAAAUGUUACCUAAUUACCUUUUUCCUUUUGGCUUUGAACUUCUUUCUCCAUGGAUGCACCAAAUACAUCAAGAAAUAUUAAAAUUACAUGGGUUUUCCUAGUUACAUAAAUCUAAGGAAAAAUAAAAAAAUCAAGAAGGAAACAUAGCGAUGAUAGGCCACCUUUCUUGUUACAUAACCAAAGAAAAAUGUUACAUGUAAAAUUUUCUAGGACAAUUAAUGUGGCAAAAACCUUGAAUCAUGCAUCAUAACAUACAACCAUACAUUGAUCACAUCAAAAUAGUAAACAUAUGCAAAGGUGGCAACUAUGCAAAAUAAAUAUAGGAAACAAACUUGCAAUAAACCCUGCUCUAAUACCAAUUGUUGGAGUAAGAUCUUGUGGAUUAAUGUGAUUGUGUAAAGCAUGGAUUUUAAAAAUUUCUUUAACAAAGGAAGCAAGCAAUCCAAUUACACAAGCGGAAGCACACAGUAUUAUUAUUGCAAGUAAUAUAAUCACAUCCAAAAAAAAUAAAAUAAGAAUCUAUUAUGUAAGAAAACUAUACCUUUAUUUUGAGAUUCUUAUUUUCUGACAAUACCACACCAAUGAAUGAUUUCUCGACCAAAUAAGUUUACCAUUUAUUCUUCAAGAAAACUUUCAACUUUAACCUUGAGUGGACAAGGUGUGGAAUGCAAGGCUAUAAGAUGGCAACUAAGUUUAUUCUCUUUUCUUUGAAAAAGCUUGGAAGAGGAGAAGAGAAGAGAUGGCUGAAACUUUUUUAAGAAAAAGUACGUUCUCUGAUUUUCUUCUAGUGUCUUCUCAUUUUAUUAAAACUCUUGCUUCAAAGGUUUAAUCAAAAUGAAACACCUUUGAAUCAAUCUCGACCAUCCAUUCAGAGUUAUGGAAGUAUCAAACAUGCUCCAUAAUUAUCAAAAUAAAAAUUAAAGAAUAAAUAAUUUAAUUCUUUAAUUAUCAUUUAAAGUUCUUAAUAAAAUAAAACUCCUUAUUGAAUAUUAACUCUUAUUUUAUUGUUCUCCAUCUUUAUUUAAAAAUAAUUAACAAUAAAUAAAAGAGUAAUAGUCAAACAUGGAGUCUCCUUUUAUCAACAUGGAUGUCUAAAUUCAUUUUGCAAGAAUCCUCCUAAAUUUAUCUUAAUUUAAGACAACUCUUGUCUGUAAUUAAGAUAAAAAAAAAUCUUAUCUUGUCUAAAUUGAGACAAAUAUGUUAAAGCUGCCAUUUUUGUACACAAUUUAAUUAAACAAAUUAAAACAUGCAUUCCAACUUAAACAAGUUGAAUUCUAUGAACCUAAGUGGGAAAUCUAUUUGGACAUAGAUAUUCCAAGCUCUAAUAAACUUAGAAUUAUUCUUAAUCUCAUUAAAAAUAAUUGAAGCUUAUUAACCAUGAAAUCACUCCACCAUAGAUUCAUGGUUGCACUCUUGGAUUAACUAUAAUUACAAAAAACUAUUCAAUACUUGAUAUUAAUUGUUAGUUGUUCAAUUGCAAACCUUAUAUUGUGAACCCUCAUAACCAUCCAAUGACAAAAAGUGAAAUUACCGUUUUACCCUUUAUGUGAAUUUUGCCCCCUAGUCUCAAAUUUCAUCCAAUUAGUGAUUCAAUACUCUAGAUCUAAUCUUUAGAGUAUCCAGAUGUGAUGAGUAGCUAAUUCAUCAAUCCACUGAGCCCAGAUUAAUCACCAAUCUUCUUGAAAUCACUAGAAGUGAUGUUAAUGCUAUGAACUCCAUUACCUGGAUAUAUGUUCUCAGAUGUUUACCUCAAUUAUAAUCCCAAAAUAAGUAGUCUAGAUCAACGCUUUAUAAUGAUCAUGCUCAUAGUAAAUCAAAGAUCAUAAGGAGAUUAAACACGAGUCCAUUAUCCAUCAGGAUUUCGGCUUUACUAUAAGCAAAUGCAUAAGUGUGAGAUCAAGAUUUAGGUAACGGUAAAACUUAAAUUUGAUUUUCACAUGAUUCCAGUUCAUGUUAUAGUGUCAUUACUCGAAGUCAACCAUUUCGAUGAUUGAGACUCAUCAUUCCCUUGAAAUGAAUCACAUUCGUUUCGUCGAAAGUAAUCUAAACACUACAGCCUUAACAUAAUAAAGUGACCAGCUUUAUUAUAUGGCUGUGAACAAUUUUUUUAGGGAACCUUUCCAUAAAAAAAUCCUCAACCAAUUGGUGCAACUAAUUGCACAAACUUAGGCCUUUAUUGGUUGCCAAGCCAAAUAAAACCAUGACUGUCACUGUAGAAAGCAGCAGCUGUUUUAGCCACGUUUUGGUAGCUUUACCUCCAUCAUUAGCCACACAUAAUCACCCAUCUUGGAACAUUUCCAAUGUGUAUUGAUCCCUUAAUUUUCUUGCAUUUUAUGAAGUACUUAAGCCUCACUUUUAUGGCUGAAAAUGGACUAAUACCAUGGCUAGACAGAAUCGAAUUCUACCAUUUAAAUCACACCAUAAUGUCAUGUGAUCGAAUCUUUAUUUGCUAAAUUAAUUUGUGCAUCUCAUGCACAUGUUAAUUUUUAAUAUUUUGACAUUAAAAUGAGAUUAAUAUUAUGACAAAUAAAUUUUAAAAUUUACAAUUAAAAUCUAUCUAGAAAUUGAAAUAACUAGAACAAAUUGUAAAAUUUUAAAACUUACUAAUUUGUAUAGAACAAAACCCGAACAUCUCAUAUUCCUUUUCAACAAGGCAUUAACAACAAUAAACAUUAAAAUGUGUUAAAAUCGAAUCAAGGAAGGCUCUGAUACCACUGAUGGGUUUAGCUAUGGAUGGCAUGCUCAAAAUACGCAACGGAAAGAAAAUUAAAACUUUAUAACUAAUCAACAAAAACAUGCCUCCACCCAUGGCUCACCUUGGUGAUAUUUAACACAUAAAAACAUAAAAUAAAUUAUUGUUUAGAAAGUUACCAUGCCAAGUAAUUUCGUAAUCACAAUGGCACUUUCCGAAGCAAUCUCAAGAACAUCACAAGGAGUAAAAACCCUAGCCAAUCAAGUGCUUGGCCUCUAAUGGUAGUACACACGAUUGCACUUGAACCUUAAACAAAAGAGAAAGUUUUUAACUAUACUUUGUGCUGGCAAAGAAGACAACAAUUGUCCUUUUAUUCUUUUUCACAAUCUUAGCAGAACCUCUCUUGAAAAUUACUUAAUAAGCAAUUUUCUCUUUUACACAAAGGGAAUGGCGGCAAUGAAAGAAAACGUUUUUCCUUUUUUAACAAAAACUAUGUUUUUUUCAAUUGUGAAAAACUCUCAUAUGGAAAAUAGUUAAAAUGUGACUUAUAUAGUUAGGUUAAAAUAACUUCAAUUUUGCAAUUAAGUCCUCAAUAUUAUAACACAUUAUAAUAUUGGGCCCAUUACUUAAUUAAACUCUUUUAAUUAAGUCUUUGGAAAUUAAAAUCAAAAUUAAUUUCUUUUAUAUUUUACAAUCAAGGCCUUAUAAUUAUAACUAUUUAUAAUUAUGCCAAAAACUUAAUUAAACUCUUUUAAUUAAGUUUAUAGAAGUUAAUUACCUAGCUUGUGAUUUAAGUCUAACUUAAAUCGUCACUCUCCCAAUUUAAUUCAAAUGCAAUCAUUGUGUGUGACCCAUUAGGUUCCCAACAUGUUGGCAAUGGAAUUGAUUAAUGACUUAAUUGAUUAAUAUAAAUUUCAAUCAAUUAAUUUAUAAUCAAUUCCAUAGAUCAAGAUUGGCAUCUAGCAAUGCAUCAUGGCCACCCAAUUGUUGGGAGAGUCAAAGGGUUCUUUGACAACCUUUCAGUGUACAGUCUAUCAAUGUAAUUCAUUCCUUCAUCAUAUAUCUCGGAGAUGAUAAAAGCUUGGUACAGUGUCUACUCUUAUUGACCUUCAUAUUUGUUCCUACAAUUAUAGCAUUAACUUUAUAGAGAGUUAUGAAACCUUUUUCAUAAUCUCCAUGUCACCUUGGCUAAGGACUUCAAUAAGCUAAUGUUAACUAAGAACUGAUAGGAUAUGUCCUCUAAAACACUUGUGUUGAUGAUUCCUAUGUUGACCACUCAUUUGCCUUCAUAUGCUUCAUACUAUACCCAAAAAGCAUCCUAUUUUGGCAUCAUUGGUUAGGCAUCCAUAGAGAUGAGAUCAAAGCAUAGCACUCCACACAUAAGACAACUUGGUGUCUCAAGUCUAGGGAGUAUUUACACAACUAACACAUGAGAAGUGUUGUAUAGACACUAGAGUGUAUUACCAAAUGCAUUUCUCGUGGCGGGUCAUGUUCAGUGAACUUGCUCUCCUAGGCAAGCACCUAUAUUCUAGUUCCAAAUAUCUUUAUACUUCAAUCUAUGAGAUCGAUUGCUUUUUUCCAAAGUAAGGAACAUAUAAUAUACCAGUCUCUAAGCAUCAUUGAUGUCCAGUCUCAAUGAUACAUUGACCAGGAACAUUUUGAGAUUAUGCUUUGAUGCAUAGGAAUCUCAUAACUGCAACCCAUUACAGUUUCUUUGCAAGGCAUAUUAAUCUCAUGGACUUCAUUCAAUUAGAAUUAUAACUCAUUGUAAUUAAUGUCUUAUUGAUGAAAGAAAACCUCUAAUCAUUCAAUAUGAAUGAUACUGUUGCAUGAUUAGAAUCAAGCCUCAACCAAUCCCAUUGGGUUACAGGGCUCAUCUCAACACGAACCACUAUAAAUUCUUGUGCAUUGUCUGCUCUAUUUUAGUUUUCAUUUUAUUUUUCAUUAAGUUUUUCCUUCAUCUUGCAUUUAACUUCUCAUCAUUCAUCCUUAACUUGCCCUCAAUUAGAAGUCAAUUUUAGUAAGAGCCAAAAGGUGUUAUUCACCUCCCCUCUAGCACAUUUAUUUGGGACCAACAAUUGAAUGAUUUCAAAGAUAGAAAAUCUUAUACUUAUACUGGUUUGGAUAUAUUUAUUGAUAAAUGAUUACGUUGCACUAAAAUUCCUUGUUUUCCAAAAAGGCACAAAUGCUUCAUUUUAUUUUAAUUGGUUUAUGCAUACUCUUAUGUUUUAACAUUCAAAUCUUCUGCUCUUAACUUGUUUCGCUCUACGCCCUACUCACGGAGCCUAGGAUUACUGAGUCUGUGAGACUCACCUCCUUAUCUUCCUUUUGCAGAUAAGUAAUCAGCGCAAGUGCAUUGCUUAGCACAUCGAGG
rnacentral:lncRNA from 1 species